GUAUUGGUUCCUCAUACUAAAACGUAUAAAUAUCUCGUGAUUUCAAAUUUUAUUGUCUUUAAAUAUAUAUUUGAUAUUAUGCAUUAUUUAUUUGAAAAAAUGGAUUUCUGUAAAUUUAAGUUAUUUGUGAAGAUAUUACCCUGUGCUUUAUCAUGCUCGCAAAUUUUACGCUUGGAACAAGUACCAACUAUGAAGUUCUUAAUUAGACGCUGUGGAAAGAUUAAUAAUUGUACUUUCAAUCUAUUUUCCAAAGGAGAAAGCCAAAGAAGAAAUUUAGUCAAUGCUCACCGAGAUAUAGUGCCCGACAUCUUCCAAUCAUAGCAACCGCCAUUAGCAUCGUCUCUUAUUUUUUCCAAUCAUAGUCAAUGGAUUGUAGGAAUGAAAAGAUUAACCUCUAAGUGAAACUUCAUGUAUAGGGGAAUAUCUGACUGUUUUGCUAGCAAUACAAAAUAAAAAACAAUUGGUUGCGGCCAGAUUAUCUUUGCAUUUUGUCCCUUGGUAAGUGUUUAGUUGUAAAACAAGACAUAUUGUACUAAUGUUGGAAUCUUAUUGAGUUUGUGUAAGUGUGACUAAAUAUAAUGUAUAUUGAUGAUAUCUUGGCAAUGAAUACUCUUUCUCAACUCUUUUUGAUGCUCCUUUUGUUCCCAUCAUGAUUCUGUUGUUUGGUGAUUUCUCAAAUCAUUUUCUUGGUUUUGUUCUUGUUCUAGCUUUUAUUUGUUUAAGCUAUCAUGGGACAUCUUUUUUUAUUUUAACCCUUUUGAUCAUUUUUUCCUCAUGCUAGAUGGCUACCAAAGCACAUAGAAAUAUGGUAAUUUCUUCCUGACAAAGAAGAAAAUGGUUGACUUAAGAUAUGCAUGUUAGUAACUGUACUUCUUACUACAAUUUAAUUUGUUUGAUUGAAGCGUUUAUAAGGUUCCUAAGCAAGACACAGAGAGCAUCAUCCAGAAAGCUAAUUCUUUUGACUUUUGAAUCUUUGAAUACCUGUGCAUCAUGGCUAUGGUAAAAACUGGGUUCUAAAUUUCUUUUUUGCUUUUCAAAAUAGAAGAAAAUUGUGCCCAAGAUAAAGGUGCAAAGGUGCAACGGUUUAUGCAUAGGCGGUCUACUAUGAGAGAGAGGUAAACAAGAUUAAAGUGAUAAAUUAAAGUGAUAUUUUGGCCUCAAAUGCCAUUUUGAAAGACUGGAAGCAUAUGCAGUUUUUCACUCCCGAUUGUGUUUGAGUCUUGUAUCUCUUACUAUUUACAUUAAAAAAAGGAGCCUUCAUGGGUGUUAGUAGUUGAGAGAA